GGUCGGUUAGCUCAGUCGGCAGAGCAUCGCAAUCACAUUCGUCCUGGCGAACAUGAUAUACCUGCGAAGGCCAUAGGUUCAAGUCCUAUACUGACCA